AACGAACGCUGGCGGCAUGCCUAACACAUGCAAGUCGAACGAGACCUUCGGGUCUUGUGGCGCACGGGUGCGUAACGCGUGGGAACCUGCCCUUAGGUUCGGAAUAACUCCCCGAAAGGGGUGCUAAUACCGGAUAAUGUCUUCGGACCAAAGAUUUAUCGCCUUUGGAUGGGCCCGCGUUGGAUUAGCUAGUUGGUAGGGUAAAAGCCUACCAAGGCGACGAUCCAUAGCUGGUCUGAGAGGAUGAUCAGCCACACUGGGACUGAGACACGGCCCAGACUCCUACGAGAGGCAGCAGUGGGGAAUAUUGGACAAUGAGCGAGAGCCUGAUCCAGCAAGGCCGCGUGAGUGAUGAAGGCCUUAGGGUUGUAAAGCUCUUUUACCCGGGAUGAUAAUGACAGUACCGGGAGAAUAAGCUCCGGCUAACUCCGU
rnacentral:rRNA from 1 species